rnacentral:lncRNA from 1 species
GGGCUGCUGGUUCUUCCAGGAGCGCGCAUGAGCGGACGCUGCCUACUGGUGGCCGGGCGGGAUGUAACCGGCUGCUGAGCUGGCAGUUCUGUGUCGCUAGGCUUCUGCCCGGCCGCCGCCGCACAUAAGCCACGAGGAGGAGCUUUACGACUUCCCGGUCUUCGGCGCCGGGCGCAGCAAGGGCCAGACUCUGCGCUAGCAGGCGCUGCGCGCCAACCGGCCGGCACCUGUCGCAGAAGGUGCAACCGAUCGCACUGUCGCGCAGAAGCUCCUCAAUGGCCAGCGCCAGCUGCAGCCCCGGCCGCCCACUCGCCUCAUCUGAGCCUGGCAGAAGGUAAGCAUGAGCAAAUUACUUUUUAGAGGUAACUUUGCUGAACUUGUGAAGAAUGGUGUGCAAGGUCCAGAGCGACUGCAGGAGAGGGAAGGUGGGAUUCCCACAGAGCAGGAGCACAGAUAAGCCAAGCAAGGCCCUGCUUGGAAGGCAGCAAUCAACAGAGAUGCACAGACCUGUGAGGGUGCCGGGACAGCCAUGCAACAAUGCAGCCCUUUUGCUUCCUGAGCUCACCAGUUCCCUCGCUCCACCUCUGAGAGGUGGUUUGGAGAAACACAGCCCUUCUCAAGAGGGCUGCAAGGUAAGUUUAGUUGGUACAUGAGUGCACAGCACAUUUUAAUUUUUAUAGUUAUGCAUUUAUUUUAUAUGUACUAGACAAACGACCGACAGAAAAUUUACCAUUUCACAGGUAUUAGUGUUUAGGAUGAGGCUAAAGUAGGUAUUUCUGUUUAAAAAAGUAAAUUUGAAGAAAAGCUACCCAGCAAAUUAUAGUAGUAUGUGGUACACAGACAAAAAAAAAAUUAUGCAGUCGUCCAAAUGACUGAAACUGAUAAAAUGCUGGUCCUGGUCUAUGGAUUCCCCCUCUGACAAAGCACAGAAUACUCGCACCUUCUCCAGAGUCAGUGACCAAAGAUGAGAGAGCAGGGCACCCAGCACAGAAACCACCAGGAGCCAAUGACUUCCUCCUGUGCUCCAUCCUACUCUCUCACUCACACCAGGAAUUAAAUCCUUUUAUGUAGACAGAUGGUCAAGAAUUGCUACUAUAAAGCAACUCAGUAUGGUCUGAACUAUCAGAGAGCUACAUGGAGAAAUAGCUACUGCUAAACAGACCUCUCUGCUGAUGUUUUUCCCAGCUACUUAAGUCCUGAAAAUUUCCACAAGGCUGAGUCAAAUCUGCGUUUCAUCAUCUAUAAGAAAGGUACCUAUCGAGAACACCCUGCUGGCCAGUGUGUAAAUAUCUAAAGGAGGACUCAGAAAACACCGGGGAAGUCCAGCCUGCACGUGGUGGCUGGGCUUCAGUGAAGCAUGCAGCACAACAGGAGUUAGCAGACCACAAAGAGCAUGUCUGGACCUAGAACCACAGCAUGUAACCUCGGAAGCAGUGAGACACCAGCCAGCAUGGACAAGCAGCAGGCACUUGCUCUAUACCAGGUGAGGGUGUGGAGACAUGACGUGGUGCAGGGACACCAGCACCCAGUCCUAGUUCUGGUCCCUCUCAGCCUUGUUAGGUCCUGGUUCCUAAGAUUCCAGGGAACAUCCCCACAGCCUCACAAUAAGAUCCUCCUUUCCUGCAUAUGCUAGCUUGGAUGGGAUCCUCUGUUCUGUAAUCAGUAUGGCAACAGAGCAGAUGAAAUAUUUAAUGGUCUUUCAUGAGCACUAAAUUUUGUUUUUUACAAACUAGGUUAGAUUCUGUCAAAUAAUCGUCUAAUGGUGUAUUCGAGUGUAUAUUAAGGAUCUGAUUCAUUCUAUACCCACUAACCAUAACCAAACAGAUUAAGUUUUCUUUCUCAGAAUCUAAUCCUUCAGUUUCUUGGAAGCUGGACUAGUUUCAGAGCAUCUACAAACAUUUCUGGAAUAUUUAACUUACCCUGAAAUAACAGACGAUAGACAGUAAUUCCCUAAAUUAUUUUCCCCAGUUGUUGCAAAAUAAAGCAAAUGCAGAGUUUCUAGGACUAUAAAAGGAACUCAACUUCCCGGAUCCUAGUAAAGAAACAGGAAACAGCUUGAAGCUCUCUGGUUUGUUUUAUGGCUCAUGAAAAAGCUUUAGCCCAACUUGGCAAAAGAAAGGCAGGGAAAGAGUUCAUAUGGCUCUGCACAAACCCAACCCAAUUACUAAUUUCAUGUUAGCCACUCUUUAUGUGGAAUGAGAGGGCUCACAGAUGCCCUGCCCUCCAAAACACGCCACAGGGAGGACACAUUCCCAUCAGCAUCAGGGGUUCAUGCUAACACAGAGAAAAUGCGUAUGACUGCAGGAGUCCAUGCUUGGUUUAAAUAGCCCUGCUGUUGACUCAGAUAUGUACAGGUAGGCAGGAACCACACACUGUACACAUAUACCACAUGCCACCACACACCAUACAUCCCACAGACCAAUGUGUGCAUAAAUACAUGCACAACCAUACAUACACACCAUACAUACAACACACAUACACCAUACACACAACACACACCAAUGUGUGCACAAAUACACAGCCACAUACCACAUGCACAUGCAAGCACACACAAUGGAGAAUCACUGCCUCAAAAGCUCCUCAUAUGCUAUUAUCUGUCAGAAUGUGAACCAUAGAUCUGAUAUUGCAAAAGAAAUGUGUUUUAUGCAACUUUAUUAAUACAUUUAUUUAAUGUGACUCCAUAUUCAACAGAAACAAUCCAAGAUACUCUCUUAUUUAUAAUAGAAUACUUACUUCUUUUGUGCUUUCUUUAUGGACAUAGAUCCAUUUUUCAUGAUAAAAACCUAGAAUAAAAAUUACCUUUGUUUUUAAAAUCUGGCAAAUCAUUUCAAAAUGAAGAUUUUAAAGGAAUUUAAAUAAUUGGACAUAUUAACAAAAUUAUCUGACUUACUAUAUUGACAAGAAAUGCUUUUACUUGGUUGAAUGCAAACAGAAUUGCUUUGUUUCUUAAAUCAGUUUAAGAUAUGAACAAUGAUUUCAGACAGUACCAAGUCCUAGUAACUUAGAAGAAAAUUAGUAUUAUUAAUGACUGAAGCCAUAUGAAGACAUAAAUGAUUAUAAAAUGCAAUUACAUUACUACAUUCCUAUGUACCCUAAUAAAAAGUUCUAUUCUUCUGUUGCUGUGUAUAGUACUCCAUAGAAACAAAUUUUUCAGAUAAAUCUUAAAAGUUUCAAGAAUCACACUAACUGUAUUCUCCAUGUGACCCUAUCUUCUUCAUAAAGUAGUCCCCCCGUAUUCACAGUUUCAUCUUCUACAGUUUCAAUUACCCACAGUCAGCUUUGGUUUGAAAACAUUAAGUGGAAAAUUCCAGAAAUAAACCAUUCAUAAGUUUUAAAUUGUGUGCCAUUCUGGGUGGUGUCAUGAAAUCUCACACCGUCCUGCUCUGUCCUGCCUGGGAUGCAAAUCCUCCCUUUGUCAAGCGAGUCCUACACUACCCGCCCCUUGGUCACUCAGUAGCCGUCUUGGUUAUCGGAUCACCUGUUGAGAUAUCACAGUGCUUGUGUUUAAAGAACCCUUAUUGCACUUCAUAAUAGCCCCAAAGUGCAAGAGCAGUGAUGGUGGCCAUCUUGCUAUAACUGUUUCAUUUUAUUAUUAUUCUCGUUAAUCUCUUACUGCACCUAAUUUAUAAAUUAAACUUUAUUAUAAGUGUGUAUAUACAGAAAAAAAAACAUAGUAUCCAUAAGGUUUGGUAGUAUCCACAGUUUCAGGCAUCCACUGGAGGUCUAUCCCCUGAGGUAAGGAAGCCUACUAUACAUUAACAUGUGUCUUGGUAACUCACAGAUAUGCUGCAUGAUAGAACGCUAUGCCCUCUCACAGAUAGGUCCCACCUCCAGCCUUCCCCUGCUGCCAUCUAACAUCCUAAACUCCAGCUCUGAAUGUCUGUCUCCUGCUCUGAAUCUUCAGUGACUUCGAAACUCAAGUCAGGACACCUCUCAGUUUGGCCUCACUGCUCAAGAUUGAGCUGAAUUCAUGACCAUAAUUCAAGCAUUCAGAUUCAUGGGCUGUUUUGUGGGUUUUGCUAUCUCUUAUUUUGUUUUUGCACAUCUUACCCACUGAAACGUUGGGCUGCAAAAAGUUUGAUCACUAAAUAUGUAGGCAAUGCUGGAUACUGGGCUGUUAUUUACAUAUUUGUAUCACCUUUUAUUUCAUAAGAUAGCAUUGUCAGAGUAAUUUAGUAUUUCAACAUAAUCAACAAGUAAAAUAAAAUUAAUGAGAAUGAUCUUA